rnacentral:rRNA from 1 species
GAUGAACGCUGGCGGUGUGCCUCAUACAUGCAAGUCGAACGGAUUUGUUUGAGUAGCAAUAUUUAGACAAGUUAGUGGCGAACGGGUGAGUAACACGUAGCUAACCUACCCUAAAUUCUGGGAUAACGUACCGAAAGGGACGCUAAUACCGGAUAAGACAAGUUGCCGCAUGGCAGCAGGUUAAAAGAUGGCCUCUGUUUACAAGCCGCGAUUAAGGAUGGGGCUGCGGUCCAUUAGGUAGUUGGUGAGGUAACGGCCCACCAAGCCUGCGAUGGAUAGCCGGACUGAGAGGUUGAACGGCCACAAUGGAACUGAGACACGGUCCAUACUCCUACGGGAGGCAGCAGUAGGGAAUAUUCCGCAAUGGGCGAAAGCCUGACGGAGCGACACCGCGUGAAUGACGAAAUCUUUCGGGAUGUAAAGUUCAGUCGGUUGGGGAAGAAGGGCUUCUAUACGAACAGUAUAGAGGAAGAGACGGUACCCAAAAUGAAGCCACGGCUAAUUACGUGCCAGC